rnacentral:misc_RNA from 1 species
GCUAUGGCUGGCAGACUGCAACGAUUAUAACCAAAGACAUAUUAUAACCCAAUUAUAACUUAUAACAUAACCAUUUUCCACGAUUUAACACAGAGUUGACACUUCUUUCUAGUUAAUCACAGAACAGAUUUAAAAUAGUUAAUUAUUUUAUGGUUCGUGUGACCAGAUUUGUGACUUUGUUUUUAACUGUUUACAGGUAAAUAUUUUUUUAAAAUGGAUCACAAAAUUAAUUUAUUGCAAGUUGUCGCCUUCAAAAACUUUUCAAAUCCUCGUGUUAUUUUAAAUACAGAAUCAACUUCUAUUGACACAAAAAAUCUCAACACAAAAUUGGAUAUUACUACAGACAUCGACAUAAAUAACAAACUAAAUAAAUUUAUAAACGAAUUUGACAACAGUGAGGACGUGAUAACAGACGAUUUUUUAACACAUACACAAGUGAUCGUUGACGAUACCGAUAACAAAAAUGAUUCUGUGAUAAAAUGUGAUGAAUUAUUAACAUGCGUCUUCUAAGGAAAAAAAAUAGAUGAUAGUGUAGCUUCCAGUUCAAAAGAUAAUUUAAAAAAUAAUUUAAUAACCCUACCUGUUAAUGAUUCUGAUGACGAAGAAUUGAUUUGUUGUUCACAAAAAAGUAAUCCUCAAUAUAAUAGAAAUAUUUUCCCUAUUUCAUCAGCAUUUUCCUCUUUGUCACCAUUUAUCGAAAAUUUUAGUUCUGAAGAAAAUGAACCGUCACAAAAUACAAUUUCGUAUCCAAAACCAUCUUUUAUAAUAACUAAAAAAACUAAAACAUUAAGAAAAUAUCUAAAACCGUAUUCAAAAUUAAAAACUUUAGGUUUCGCGCUUCAAAAUGGUGUUGCAAAAAUUAUUAUUAAUGAAGAAAAUGUUGCAGGAAUAGAAUGUUUAAAACAAUGUUUUGAUACGUUAGUGGAUUCAUUUAAUUAAAUAUUUGCAUUUUUUUCAUUUUUUUUUAUUAAAUUGAAAAAUAUAUUAUCACAUUCUUCUUUCCAAAUUUUAUUCAUAACCUUUCAAAUAUUCAAAUCAGAUUCAAAUAUGCAACAUAAUCUUAUAUUAAAAAAUUCUCACAGAAUUAAAUUGAUAGAUGUUCACAUGUUCAUCUUGUCAAAAGUCGUUCAGUCGUAAAGACAGUUUAACUCGUCACUUAAACAAUGCGUGCACAAAGUCUUCUUUUUUAAACUGUCUCUUGGGUAGGUCAGCAGCUGAAGAAAAAAAAAAAUAUUGUUCACAAUGUAAAGAACAUAUUUUACAAAAUUUGUGGGUUGGUCAUCUGCGUUCAAACAGUCACAAAAAACUGUAAAACGUUGGAGGAAAAGGGAAUUCAAGUAAUAAAAUCAGCUUUCAAGGAAAGGAUAAUAUCAUACAGAUUAUCUACCGAAGAAAAUAUUUUGAAUGUUAAAAACUAUUUUAAAAUAUUGGGACAAAAGAUUCUACGGGUGUUUGACAACCAAUUGAAAAAACAUGUUUGUCUUAAAAUUAACAUGGAGCUUUUUAGUUAUUACUAUAACCCCAGUAGCGAUAAUCAUGAUGUCAAAUUGUUCAAUACACCUUUUAAAAUAAUUUGUAACAGCAGUGCAACAAAGGACUUAAUAGAAGAUUUUUUAACAAUUAUUGACCAUAAGACUGAUGAAUUCGCAGAAAAGGACUCUGGAUGGAUUUUACUAAAUCUUCUUUUUUUGGAGAUAAACAUCAAUAAAUUCAAUCCUUUGAGAGCGUCAUCGUUUAUUGAACUUCCUCCCGAAAUAACACAACGUCAAGCUGUCGUCAACAUAAGAAAUAACGAUGACUACUGCUUCGCGUGGUCCGUAGUUGCAGCCCUUCAUCCUCCAAGAGGUUUUGAUUUUCAAACAUUAUCACACCCAUACUAUUCAACAGUUUUGAACACUGCAGGUAUUGAUUUUCCAAUAACAUUAGACAUUAAAACAAUAUUUCUAUCAAUGUAUACGGUUUAGAAAAAUAUUAUAAUAAAAUUUCUAAUAAUGAAGAAUAUGAAAUAAUUGGUCCUCUACAUUUUUCUAGUGAUAAAAAAAUAUUCAUGUUAAUUUAUUAUUGAUAAACAAUGAUGAUGGAAAUUUUCAUUAUUGCUACAUUUCCAAUCUUUCUAAAUUAAUUUCUAAACAACUAAGUAAACACAAUGGAAGAAAAUAUUUGUGUGGAGGACGUCUUCAAUACUUUGAUACAGAACAAAAAUUCAACAGUAUUGUAGCGUUUUUAGUUCGUUACAUGUCUUUGAUUAUGAUAUAUGAUGUCUGGGCACAACCCUGUUAUGGUUUGGCACAACCCUGUUAUUGCUCUGUGGGA